rnacentral:rRNA from 1 species
AUGGCAUAUACAAAGAGAAGCGACCUCGCGAGAGCAAGCGGACCUCAUAAAGUAUGUCGUAGUCCGGAUUGGAGUCUGCAACUCGACUCCAUGAAGUCGGAAUCGCUAGUAAUCGUGGAUCAGAAUGCCACGGUGAAUACGUUCCCGGGCCUUGUACACACCGCCCGUCACACCAUGGGAGUGGGUUGCAAAAGAAGUAGGUAGCUUAACCUUCGGGAGGGCGCUUACCACUUUGUGAUUCAUGACUGGGGUGAAGUCGUAACAAGGUAACCGUAGGGGAACCUGCGGUUGGA